GUGGAUGUAGCUCAGGCUGGUAGAGCGCCGGACUGUGGCUCCGGAAGUCGCGGGUUCAAAUCCCGUCAUCCACCCCA
rnacentral:tRNA from 1 species